GUGCUCCUUUUGGCAGCACAUAUACUAAAUUGGAAUGAUUCAGAAAAGAUUGAAAUGGCCCCUGUGCAAGGGUGACAUGCAAAUUCAUGAAAUGUCCCAUAUUUUU
rnacentral:snRNA from 1 species